GUAGUACUCCCUCCGUCCGAAAAUAUUUGUCAUCAAAAUGAAUAAAAAGGAAAUACUUGUCAUCAAAAUAAAUAAGAAGGAAAUACUUGUCAUCAAAAUGGAUAAAAAGGGAUGUACUAGAUACAUCCCUUUUUAUUCAUUUUGAUGACAAGUAUUUCCGGACGGAGGGAGUAUGUC
rfam:Triticum aestivum genome assembly, contig: Triticum_aestivum_CS42_TGACv1_scaffold_500284_6BL